GAUGAACGCUGCGGCGUGCGUAACACAUGCAAGUUGGACGACGGUGCCAUGAAGUGGUAACACGGAAUGGUAUACGGAGUAGCGGACGGGUGAGUAAAGCAUGAGGAGCUGUCCUGUUGAGGGGGAUAACGUUCGGAAACGGACCCUAAUACCCCAUAGGCCGAGAGGUUAAAGGCAGAGAUGCGCGACAGGAGGUACUCGUGUCCUAUCAGCUAGUUGGUGAGGUAACGGCUCACCAAGGCAACGACGGGUAGCCGGCCUGAGAGGGUGACCGGCCACACUGGAACUGAGACACGGUCCAGACUCCUACGGGAGGCAGCAGUGGGGAAUAUUGGGCAAUGGGAGAAAUCCUGACCCAGCGACGCCGCGUGAACGAAGACGGCCUUCGGGUUGUAAAGUUCUUUUAUGUGGGAAGAAGGAAGUGACGGUACCACAUGAAUAAGCCCGGCU
rnacentral:rRNA from 1 species